rnacentral:rRNA from 1 species
UACGGAGGAUGCAAGCGUUAUCCGGAAUGAUUGGGCGUAAAGCGUCCGCAGGUGGCUGUGUAAGUCUGCUGUCAAAGAGCAAAGCUCAACUUUGUAAAGGCAGUGGAAACUACAUGGCUAGAGUGCGUUCGGGGCAGAGGGAAUUCCUGGUGUAGCGGUGAAAUGCGUAGAGAUCAGGAAGAACACCGGUGGCGAAAGCGCUCUGCUAGGCCGCAACUGACACUGAGGGACGAAAGCUAGGGGAGCGAAUGGG